rnacentral:rRNA from 1 species
UUGAUCCUGGCUCAGAGCGAACGCUGGCGGCGUGGAUAAGACAUGCAAGUCCAACGAGACUAUUUCUAGUAGCAAUACCGGGAAUAGUUUAGUGGCGAACGGGUGCGUAACACGUGGGCAAUCUGCCGAAAAGUGGGGGAUAGCUCGCCGAAAGGCGAAUUAAUACCGCAUGUGGUGAGAAAAGACAUCUUUUUGAAUCCAAAGCCGGGGCAACCUGGCGCUUUUUGAGGAGCCCGCGGCCUAUCAGCUAGUUGGUGAGGUAACGGCUCACCAAGGCUAUGACGGGUAGCUGGUCUGAGAGGACGACCAGCCACACUGGAACUGAGACACGGUCCAGACACCUACGGGUGGCAGCAGUCGAGAAUUUUUCUCAAUGGGGGAAACCCUGAAGGAGCGACGCCGCGUGGAGGAUGAAUGCUUUCGGGUUGUAAACUCCUGUCAUUUGGGAACAAGGCUUACGUUAACUGCG